UAGAAUAUAACAAAAUUUGACAGUGGUUUUUCUGCUAUUUCGGUCAAAAAUGGAGGACGGUUCGGUCAUGAGGGCCAGUUGUCGAUGGGUUCGCCCAAGUGAGGUUUUGGUAUUUGUUGUUUUGAUUUGUUCCAGAGCUUCGCCGUGCGCAUGGAAAAAGCUGGGUUUUAGAGUCACUGGUAUCGAUUUUCGGGGAGAUUCCAUCGGAUUCGGCGGCUUGGGUUCGCUUUUGCUGUCGAUCGCUGAAAAAUUCUGAUUGAUUGGUCAAACAGCAUUAUCUCCAGUCAAGCAACAAGCCAAAUAAGAUACAAAUCAGAUAUGACUUGUCUAUCUUUAUGCUUUUAUGAUGUUUUGAUACAGUUGAGAAUUUCCCUUUCCAUGUGGAAUUUGAUUAGGAUGCAUUUUCAGCUUAACAUUUUUUCUAUAACUUUUAUUAUUAAAUUGAGCAAAGAAAGGCUGUUGUAUAAUCGUCUCUAAGUUCAGAAGGAAGCUAAAACACAAUUUCACUUAUGUCCUGUUGAACAAUUAGAUUAUUCUUAUUUGAAUGCAAUUUACACAUAUAUAACACCGUCCUAUUGAUUCCUGAGAGUAAGAAGUAAUCUUAAUUUUAGGCUCUGUUUGGUAUAUCAUGAUUAGAAAUCCUGGGAUUUCUCCAGAAGUUCAAAUUAAGGAUCAAGUUCUAAAGGAAAUUCUUACUUUUUGUUUGACUAUUUGGCUGGGGGAAUUUAUGCACGAUUUUUGCUUAUCUUCGAAUCUUCAUCAUCCUUAGCCCCUGAAUUUCCUAUUUUACAGGUACUAAAUCCCCAUGUUUUAGGAAGCUAAUUUCUUAGCUUCCCAGUUCCAGAUGGGAAAUAAGUGGGUGUCUGGAUGAUAUCUUGAGAUUAUUGGAGAAAUCUCCAUACCAGUUUUUUUCUUCCUUGUUUUUAAACUUUUCUUUUGUGCUAACUCCCCCAGAGCUAAAUCAUGAUUUGUUGUGCAUUAUACAAUGGUGUACAGUUUACUGUGUUUCCUUUACAUAUGAGUGGUACAGCACUUGGCAAUCUCCUGAAGCUCUUUCAGGAACAAAGAUAGCCAUUGAUUGAACAUCAUUGCUUGGUGCUAAUUCUACCAUGGUGUCCUGUUAAAUGGGCUUUAUAAUGUUUAGUAGUUCUUACUCCCUGGUAACCUGUAAAGGAUGUUGUUGCAUCAUUUUUUAUAUCAUUCAGCUGCUCUUUCUGUGGUCCAGUUUGUCAAAAUGCUACUCAUUAGAGUUUUAAGUGAUUUUGGUUUUUAACAAAAUUAUUUACAUCUACUUGUCCUUUAAAAGGGAUCUCAAACUAAAAAGUAGGUCAUCAUUAGAGCCAUUGUUGGAAUGGAUGAGUUAUGUUGGCAAUCUGAUGUAUAUGGUGGUCGUUGCAGUUAAUGUGCUUGGAUAUAGAUAGUGAUCUCUAGCAAUAUUGAGGAUGCAUCUUGCAUGCCUAUAUUUUUCUCUAGCUGGAAUUUCCAAUGUUUUUUAUUUAAGAUAUUGUCUUAUACAAAGUUCAAUGUUGCAAAUUAUUGUGAAGUGCUUUUAAUUUUUUUCUAGCAAUAUUAAAUUUUUUUUGGACAGGCUUCAUGUGACUUAGUAUGAUUUCUGAGACUUUAGUAAUUUGUGAUACUUGGCAGAUUGUCAUGACCAACCAACAAGGUAUGGUUAAUCUUUUCCAGAGCAUCCAUGCUUCAAAAGCUUAUGGCAACAGGAUUAUUGCAGAGUGAUUUUCUUUAACUUGGCAUGCAGAAGUAGCAGCUUUGGUGAUGAUGAUGAUGUUGUCGAGACUAUAAACAAAGAAGGAAAUGAUGCUCGAAGGAGAUGGAAGCAACAGGGACAAGUUCAUGGUGUUUUCUUUAAGUGUAUGACCAAUAUAAUUAUUCUAUUAUUCAUCUGAAUUCUAUUCUUAUUUUUAUAUUUAAGGGGAUCUCAUCUUGACAAAGAAGGAAUGGGGCAUAUUUCAAUUA